ensembl:ncRNA asRNA:CR45865 antisense RNA:CR45865
CUUCUUCUCCAGCUUACGAAUCUUGUGCAGGCGCGUCCGGACCGGCUCGCCCUCCCGCUCCGUCACUUCGCCGGACUCCGGAUUACUUUGGCCAUCCGGGUUAUUCUCCAUCAAUACUGCGGCCGAAAUGCAAACGAACUGGAAGAGAGCACCCACAUAAAGCCCGUAUCGGAUUAGCAAGCUGAAGAUGUCCUCGUCGCCGUACUUGUCCAGGGCUGCGGCGGCGCCCAGACUGUCCGCGGAAGCCGACAUCGCUGCGCUGGUAUUGUUUAUAAACAAAACCCGCGAGGAUUAGACAAAAAAAAAUAACAACUACAAAAAGUUUGUU